UACGUAGGUGGCAAGCGUUGUCCGGAAUUAUUGGGCGUAAAGCGCGCGCAGGCGGUCCUUUAAGUCUGAUGUGAAAGCCCACGGCUCAACCGUGGAGGGUCAUUGGAAACUGGGGGACUUGAGUACAGAAGAGAAGAGUGGAAUUCCACGUGUAGCGGUGAAAUGCGUAGAGAUGUGGAGGAACACCAGUGGCGAAGGCGGCUUCCUGGGCCGCGCCUGACGCUGAGACGCGAAAGCGUGGGGAGCGAACGGG
rnacentral:rRNA from 1 species